rnacentral:rRNA from 1 species
AACGAACGCUGGCGGCAUGCCUAACACAUGCAAGUCGAACGAGACCUUCGGGUCUAGUGGCGCACGGGUGCGUAACGCGUGGGAACCUGCCCUUAGGUUCGGAAUAACUCCCCGAAAGGGGUGCUAAUACCGGAUAAUUUCUUCGGACCAAAGAUUUAUCGCCUUUGGAUGGGCCCGCGUUGGAUUAGCUAGUUGGUAGGGUAAAAGCCUACCAAGGCGACGAUCCAUAGCUGGUCUGAGAGGAUGAUCAGCCACACUGGGACUGAGACACGGCCCAGACUCCUACGGGAGGGAGCAGUGGGGAAUAUUGGAAAAUGGGCGAAAGCCUGAUCCAGCAAUGCCGCGUGAGUGAUGAAGGCCUUAGGGUUGUAAAGCUCUUUUACCCGGGAUGAUAAUGACAGUACCGGGAGAAUAAGCGCCGGCUAACUCCGUG